rnacentral:snRNA from 1 species
ACCAUUGCAGAUGGAAUAUCAUAGCCUGUAAGGUUAAUCUGAGGUGCGAUUAUUGCCUGUUGAAAUCUAUAACUAACGCAGGCUAAAGGUAUGGAUAUUGAGUAAUACUCCAAAGACAACUCAGCCUUUUUUGU